CAACAUUUGGUCGCGGUCGCCAAC
rnacentral:siRNA from 1 species